AGAAGAAAAGAAAAAUGUCUUCCUGGAGUUAUUCAACAGGAGUCCAGUAUCCAAUCUCCUUCAGUAGUCUACCAGUUGUGUCUGAGAAGUAUAAACACAAUAGUCCUUCACCGAUUAUUCCAUAAUACUCAAUUAUGGAGUAACAACUCCCUCUGAAUGGAGAGAGAGUCAAUUUAGUUCUCCAGAUCUACCACUCAUCUCAAAGCAAAAUUCCCACAGCACAUCCACCUACCUCUUUGUCAGAAUAAGAAAUGUUUUGGAUGCUGCUCCACUCAAAAGACUUAUUUGGAGAGAAGCGGUUAUUGAUGCUGUAGACAUGAAUCCCUUUGGCAUCUACCCCAAGCAGGAAGUCUGUAUGAUUCUUCUUUUGCUACAGAGAAGUCCAAGAGGUGAGAUCAACAAGCAGGAGCAGAGUGAUGAGAGAACUUGAGUUUCUGAGUUCCCAUCUGUUUGGAUCAAACUUUGUAUCAAGAAGUGAAUUCAAGGUAUGAUUCAUCUAAAUUCUUAUUAGCUUCUACUAUGUUCCAUGGGGAAAAAAACAGAUGAAUAAGGGCAAAGUGACAAAGUCAUGAAAUGUGUAUUGUGACAUCCUGAUUUAUUUAUGUUUUUAUCCUACCUUUAUUAUUUUUAUAAAUAACUCAACACAGUGAACGUACCUAAUACUCCUUCCUCUUCCUAUUUUCUCCACAAUAACAA